GACGAACGCUGGCGGCGUGCUUAACACAUGCAAGUCGAGCGGUAAGGCCCUUUCGGGGGUACACGAACGGCGAACGGGUGAGUAACACGUGGGUGACCUGCCCUCAGCUCUGGGAUAAGCCUGGGAAACCGGGUCUAAUACUGGAUAUGACUCCAUGACGCAUGUUGUGGGGUGGAAAGCCUUGUGCGGCUGAGGAUGGGCCCGCGGCCUAUCAGCUUGUUGGUGGGGUGAUGGCCUACCAAGGCGACGACGGGUAGCCGGCCUGAGAGGGCGGCCGGCCACACUGGGACUGAGACACGGCCCAGACUCCUACGGGAGGCAGCAGUGGGGAAUCUUGCGCAAUGGGCGAAAGCCUGACGCAGCGACGCCGCGUGAGGGAUGACGGCCUGGUGU
rnacentral:rRNA from 1 species